CAGGGAUUGCCCUAGUAACGGCGAGUGAAGCGGCAACAGCUCAAAUUUGAAAUCUGGCUUCGGCCCGAGUUGUAAUUUGCAGAGGAUGUUUCUGGCGCGGUGCCUUCCGAGUUCCCUGGAACGGGACGCCACAGAGGGUGAGAGCCCCGUAUGGUUGGACACCAAGCCUGUGUGAAACUCCUUCGACGAGUCGAGUAGUUUGGGAAUGCUGCUCAAAAUGGGAGGUAAAUCUCUUCUAAAGCUAAAUACCGGCCAGAGACCGAUAGCGCACAAGUAGAGUGAUCGAAAGAUGAAAAGCACCUUGAAAAGGGGGUUAAACAGUACGUGAAAUUGUUGAAAGGGAAGCGCUUGUGACCAGACUUGCGCCGGGCGGUUCAUCCGGGGUUCUCCCCGGUGCACUCCGCCCGGCUCAGGCCAGCAUCGGUUCUCGUUGGGGGAUAAGAACGGCAGGAACGUGGCCCUCCUUCGGGUGGGUGUUAUAGCCUGCCGUACGAUACCCUGACGGGGACCGAGGUUCGCGCUCCGCAAGGAUGCUGGCGUAAUGGUCAUCAGCGACCCGUCUUGAAACACGGACCAAGGAGUCGUCCAUUAGAGCGAGCGUUUGGGUGUCAAACCCGCACGCGUAAUGAAAGUGAAAUUAGGUGAGAGCUUCGGCGCAUCAUCGACCGAUCCUGAUGUUCUCGGAUGGAUUUGAGUAAGAGUUUUAACGGACGGACCCGAAAGACAGUGAACUAUGCUUGUAUAGGGUGAAGCCAGAGGAAACUCUGGUGGAGGCUCGCAGCGGUUCUGACGUGCAAAUCGAUCGUCAAAUAUGAGCAUGGGGGCGAAAGACUAAUCGAACUGUCUAGUAGCUGGUUACCGCCGAAGUUUCCCUCAGGAUAGCAGUGUUGACCUUCAGUUUUAUGAGGUAAAGCGAAUGAUUAGGGACUCGGGGGCGCUUUUUAGCCUUCAUCCAUUCUCAAACUUUAAAUAUGUAAGAAGCCCUUGUUACUUAGUUGAACGUGGGCAUUCGAAUGUAUCAACACUAGUGGGCCAUUUUUGGUAAGCAGAACUGGCGAUGCGGGAUGAACCGAACGCGGGGUUAAGGCGCCAGAGUGUACGCUCAUCAGACACCACAAAAGGCGUUAGUACAUCUUGACAGCAGGACGGUGGCCAUGGAAGUCGGAAUCCGCUAAGGACUGUGUAACAACUCACCUGCCGAAUGUACUAGCCCUGAAAAUGGAUGGCGCUCAAGCGUACCGCCCAUACCCCGCCCUCAGGGUAGAAACGAUGCCCUGAGGAGUAGGCG
rnacentral:rRNA from 1 species